GUGCUCACUUCUGCAGCACAUAUACUAAAAUUGGAACAAUACAGAGAAGAUUAGCAUGACCCCUGCUCAAGGAUGACACGCAAAUUCGUGAAGUGUUCCAUAUUUAA
rnacentral:snRNA from 1 species